UACGGGGGGGGCAAGCGUUGUUCGGAAUUACUGGGCGUAAAGGGCUCGUAGGCGGCCAACUAAGUCGGACGUGAAAUCCCUCGGCUUAACCGGGGAACUGCGUCCGAUACUGGAUGGCUUGAGUAUGGGAGAGGGAUGCGGAAUUCCAGGUGUAGCGGUGAAAUGCGCAGAUAUCAGGAAGAACACCCGUGGCGAAAGCGGCUCUCUGGAACGGUACUGACGCUGAGACGCGAAAGCGUGGGGAGCAAACAGG
rnacentral:rRNA from 1 species